GGGGCGCCAAUUACAGAACGCUGUUGCUACAUGAUUUUAUUAAUAAUUUGGGUGAAAUCACCACCACUCACUUCAUCGGAAAAAUAUUUAUCAAACCUAGUUCCCCAACAUGUGUGAAUAGUAUCAGCCAUGGCACAUCAUGGCUUGGAAUAACUUAACGGGUAAACAACGGGGAAAAUCAAUAGCCGGGCAUUCCGUCUUUUUCAUGAGCCAUCUUUGAGCGGGUAAAAAAAUUGGCACAUAUGCUAAUCAUCCUCGGUCUCGACCAGUGUGAACGAAAAUGGUGAAAACUUGUAUCCGUCGCCCUCAUAGAACUUGUUCUGGAAUUCCACCCAAUGAAGCCUCAACGCAUGUAGAAAGGCACUUAGUGUUUCCAUCACGAGCAGCACCCCCACGGUCGCAAAGACAAACACGACAAUGCCAAUCAGGCGAAUAAAUAUAUUGCUAUACCCCCAAGCGAGCAUGAGAACCUUCUCGUAGAAAACACUGGAC
rnacentral:misc_RNA from 1 species